rnacentral:piRNA from 1 species
CGAAGUCCCUGCCUUUCUG